rnacentral:rRNA from 1 species
ACUACGGGUGGCAGCAGUGGGGAAUAUUGGGCAAUGGGCGCAAGCCUGACCCAGCAACGCCGCGUGAAGGAAGAAGGCUUUCGGGUUAUAAACUUCUUUUGUCAGGGACGAAGCAAGUGACGGUACCUGACGAAUAAGCCACGGCUAACUACGUGCCAGCAGCCGCGGUAAUACGUAGGUGGCAAGCGUUAUCGGGAUUUACUGGGUGUAAAGGGCGUGUAGGCGGGGAAGCAAGUCAGAUGUGAAAACCACGGGCUCAACCUGUGGCCUGCAUUUGAAACUGUUUUUCUUGAGUGCUGGAGAGGCAAUCGGAAUUCCGUGUGUAGCGGUGAAAUGCGUAGAUAUACGGAGGAACACCAGUGGCGAAGGCGGAUUGCUGGACAGUAACUGACGCUGAGGCGCGAAAGCGUGGGGAGCAAACAGGAUUAGAUACCCUAGUAGUC